GGGGGUAUAGCUCAGUGGUAGAGUGCAUGCUUAGCAUGCAUGAGGUCCUGAGUUCAAGUCCUAGUACUUCUG
rfam:Camelus ferus unplaced genomic scaffold scaffold931, whole genome shotgun sequence.